rnacentral:rRNA from 1 species
UACAGAGGUCUCAAGCGUUUGUUCGGAUUCAUUGGGCGUAAAGGGUGCGUAGGUGGCGCCGUAAGUCGGGUGUGAAAUUUCGGAGCUUAACUCCGAAACUGCAUUCGAUACUGCGGUGCUUGAGGACUGGAGAGGAGACUGGAAUUCAUGGUGUAGCAGUGAAAUGCGUAGAGAUCAUGAGGAAGACCAGUGGCGAAGGCGGGUCUCUGGACAGUUCCUGACACUGAGGCACGAAGGCCAGGGGAGCAAACAGG